rnacentral:rRNA from 1 species
GACGAACGCUGGCGGCGUGCCUAAUACAUGCCAGUUGAGCGCUGAAGGUUGGUACUUGUACCGACUGGAUGAGCAGCGAACGGGUGAGUAACGCGUGGGGAAUCUGCCUUUGAGCGGGGGACAACAUUUGGAAACGAAUGCUAAUACCGCAUAAAAACUUUAAACACAAGUUUUAAGUUUGAAAGAUGCAAUUGCAUCACUCAAAGAUGAUCCCGCGUUGUAUUAGCUAGUUGGUGAGGUAAAGGCUCACCAAGGCGAUGAUACAUAGCCGACCUGAGAGGGUGAUCGGCCACAUUGGGACUGAGACACGGCCCAAACUCCUACGGGAGGCAGCAGUAGGGAAUCUUCGGCAAUGGACGAAAGUCUGACCGAGCAACGCCGCGUGAGUGAAGAAGGUUUUCGGAUCGUAAAACUCUGUUGGUAGAGAAGAACGUUGGUGAGAGUGGAAAGCUCAUCAAGUGACGGUAACUACCCAGAAAGGGACGGCUAACUACGUG